rnacentral:lncRNA from 1 species
AUGAAGAGCUGGAGCCCCCCUCUCAGAGGCACAGCAGGGAUAAGAGGAGGCUUGAGGAAAGAGGCACUGGAGGUGGAUCUGAAUCCUCAACACGGAUGGGGGAGGGUCACCCCACACAGGACGAGAGCCCUCCCCAACCAGCCGCUGGAGUCCAGGCAGGUGGAGGCUGGGCUGCGUGGAGGCCAAGUCUGUAGGUUUGAAGAGGGAAAGCUGGUGACAUUAAUGGUAAAUCCCUUUUAUUUCAUGAGGUCUGUGAGGCUUUCACUGAGAGGGAGGGGUAGGUGAGGGAUUUGGGGGCUCGGAGAGAGGUCUGAGGUUUCAUCCGCCACCAGGAGAUGGGAGGAGGUGCUGUUCAAGGGCGAUUGAAAACCAUAAAGAUUAAAAGAUAAGACAGGAACCAUCGGUUCUAAGCAGUGUCCAUCAGCAGGGUAGCAAGUUGUAGUUUCAAAAUUUGUGAGAACUGAGCCCGGAUGACCCGUUCCCGACUGGAGGCAAGGCCUCAGGAAGCUUUGCGGGAAGCACUGCAACUGGACGGACGCCUGUGGCUGCACCCAGACUGGCCCCGAUAUGUAAAGAACCGGGGGGCGCAGAAAGCCAGUGGCCAAGAGCGGGUCCCUCUCCGGCUCGCAGUUCCUGAUAGUUGGGCUACUUCACAGUCUUCUGACGUCUAAGGCCAGGACGCUGCCCACUGGAGACUACGGUGUCUUACUUAGACUGCUCACUCCCCAGGCGGCCCCCGCUUCGAGGCAUGAGCGCCGAGCGCCCCGGCCCUUCCCGACCGCGCAGCCCCUGCUACACCUUACAGGUGUCUCUGGGAUGCUGAGGUCACAGGCACGCAACGCCUGGGGAGCCUGGCCAGUCCCCAAAAGAGCGGGGUAAACAGCUCAGCGCCCCCACCCAUCCCGUCCCGACAGACCCCCUCCGUCGUCCUCUCGAGCUCCACCCCGGGUCUGAGCCGCUGGGGUUUGCGCCUCCACCCCGCCCCCCUCCCCGGCAAAGGGCCUCGUGGGCGGCGGGAAGCCGCGGGCUGGGACCCGGGAGGGCGCAGUGCUCAGCCCACGCGCCAGGUGGCGGCGUCUCCCCGCGCCCCGCAGCCCCCGGACCGCGCGCGCCCG